UAUAUUUUAGUAUAUAAUGUACAUUAAUUUUUGAUGUUAAAAGAGAUAGAUUAUGCCUAUUAAAUAUAAU
rnacentral:tRNA from 1 species